UGGUCAAGUUAUUAAGGGUGCAGGGUGGAUGCCUUGGCACUAGGAGCCGAUGAAGGACGUGAUAAGCUGCGAUAAGCUUCGGGGAGUUGCACGUAAACUUUGAUCCGAAGAUUUCCGAAUGAGGAAACUCACUUAGAGUAAUGUCUAAGUAUCAUUAAGUGAAUACAUAGCUUAAUGAGGGGAACUCAGGGAACUGAAACAUCUAAGUACCUGAAGGAAGAGAAAGAAAUUCGAUUCCGUAAGUAGCGGCGAGCGAACGCGGAUUAGCCCAAACCAAUAAAGUUUUCUUUAUUGGGGUUGCGGACAUAUCAUAACGAAGAGGUAUCGUAAUUGAAGAGGUUUGGAAAGACCCACCACAGAAGGUAAUAGUCCUGUAUGUUAAACGAGAAGACUUCAGAUAUGAUCCAGAGUACCACGGGACACGUGAAACCCUGUGGGAAGCAGGAGGGACCACCCUCCAAGGCUAAAUACUACCUAGUGACCGAUAGCGUAUAGUACCGUGAGGGAAAGGUGAAAAGAACCCCGGGAGGGGAGUGAAAUAGAACCUGAAACCCUGCACUUACAAGCUGUGGAAGCACAUUUCUUGUGUGACCGCGUACUUUUUGUAGAACGGGCCAACGAGUUACGUUAAGUAGCAAGGUUAAGCACUUAAGGUGCGGAGCCGUAGCGAAAGCGAGUUUUAACUGAGCGUUCAGUUACUUGACGUAGACCCGAAACCGGGCGACCUACCCAUGAGCAGGAUGAAGCGAAAGUAAAAUUUCGUGGAGGUCCGAACCCACGAGCGUUGAAAAGCUCGGGGAUGACUUGUGGGUAGCGGUGAAAUUCCAAUCGAGCCCGGAGAUAGCUGGUUCUCCCCGAAAUAGCUUUAGGGCUAGCCUCAAGGUGAGAGAUACGGAGGUAGAGCACUGAAUGUCCUAGGGGGUAUUGCACCUACCGAAGACUAUCAAACUCCGAAUGCCGUCAUCUUAUACUUGGGAGUCAGACUGUGGGUGAUAAGAUUCAUAGUCGAAAGGGCAACAGCCCAGAUCGUCAGCUAAGGUCCCUAAAUGUAAGUUAAGUGGUAAAGGAUGUGGGAUUGCACAGACAACCAGGAUGUUGGCUUAGAAGCAGCCACUCAUUCAAAGAGUGCGUAAUAGCUCACUGGUCGAGUGAUCCUGCGCCGAAGAUUUCCGGGGCUAAAACUUACUACCGAAGCUACGGCAUCAGUAAUGAUGGGUAGGGGAGCUUCCCAUACGGGUUGAAGCAUGACCGUAAGUACAUGUGGACAGUAUGGGAGUGAGAAUGUUGGCAUGAGUAGCGAGAUGUGGGUGAGAAUCCCACAGGCCGUAAACCCAAGGUUUCCAGGGGAAGGUUCGUCCGCCCUGGGUUAGUCGGGACCUAAGCUGAGGCCGAAAGGCGUAGGUGAUGGACAACAGGUUGAUAUUCCUGUACUACCGAUAACCGUUUGAGAGAAGGGAUGACACAGUAGGAUAAGCUAAGCACACUGUUGGUUAUGUGUGCCCAAGCAUUGAGGCAGUCAAAGUAGGCAAAUCCGCUUUGAUAAUGCUGGGAUGUGAUGGGGAGCGAAAUUUAGUAGCGAAGUAGCUGAUUUCACACUGUCAAGAAAAGUCUCUAUCGAGGUUAAAGGUACCCGUACCGCAAACCGACACAGGUGGGUGAGGAGAGUAUCCUAAGGCCAGCGAGAGAACUGUUGUUAAGGAACUCGGCAAAAUGACCCCGUAACUUAGGGAUAAGGGGUGCCACCAUCAGGUGGCCGCAGAGAAUAGGCCCAAGCGACUGUUUACCAAAAACAUAGGUUUCUGCUAAGUCGCAAGACGAUGUAUAGGAGCUGACGCCUGCCCGGUGCUGGAAGGUUAAGGGGAUCUGUUAGAGCAAUCGAAGCAGUGAACUUAAGCCCCAGUAAACGGCGGCCGUAACUAUAACGGUCCUAAGGUAGCGAAAUUCCUUGUCGGGUAAGUUCCGACCCGCACGAAAGGCGUAACGAUUUGGGCACUGUCUCAACAACAGACUCGGUGAAAUUGUAAUUCCGGUGAAGAUGCCGGAUACCUGCGACAGGACGGAAAGACCCCAUGGAGCUUUACUGUAGCUUGACAUUGGGUUUUGGUACUACAUGUACAGGAUAGGUGGGAGGCUUUGAAACCAGGACGCCAGUUUUGGCGGAGCCAUCCUUGGGAUACCACCCUUGUAGUACUGGGACUCUAACCAUAGGCCAUGAAUCUGGUCUUGGGACACUGUCAGGUGGGCAGUUUGACUGGGGCGGUCGCCUCCCAAAAGGUAACGGAGGCGCUCAAAGGUUCUCUCAGUACGGUCGGAAAUCGUACGUAGAGUGUAAAGGCAAAAGAGAGCUUGAUUGCAAGACAUACAGGUCGAGCAAGGAUGAAAAUCGGACUUAGUGAUCCGGUGGUUCUGCGUGGAAGGGCCAUCGCUCAACGGAUAAAAGCUACCCUGGGGAUAACAGGCUUAUCUCCCCCAAGAGUCCACAUCGACGGGGAGGUUUGGCACCUCGAUGUCGGCUCAUCACAUCCUGGGGCUGUAGUAGGUCCCAAGGGUUGGGCUGUUCGCCCAUUAAAGUGGUACGCGAGCUGGGUUCAGAACGUCGUGAGACAGUUCGGUCCCUAUCCGUCGCAGGCGUAGGAAAUUUGAGAAGACCUGUCCUUAGUACGAGAGGACCGGGAUGGACGUACCUCUGGUGUACCAGUUGUCCUGCCAAGGGCAUGGCUGGGUAGCUAUGUACGGAAUGGAUAAGCGCUGAAAGCAUCUAAGCGCGAAGCCAACUUCAAGAUAAGAUUUCCCACCGCAAGGGUAAGACCCCAGAAAGACUAUCUGGUUGAUAGGUCGAAGGUGUAAGUGCAGCAAUGUAUUUAGCUUAUCGAUACUAAUAGGUCGAGGACUUGACCAAAUU
rnacentral:rRNA from 1 species